GGAAACCCUUCCUAAAAGCAACACAACUUCGUAGUUUAUUGCUCAAUGCUCAGUUCCAAACUUCCCUUACAGUGCUCUUUGGGCUCCACGUUUCUCUUCCUCUUCUCACGUUUCAUCAAUGGUUAGUGAAGCAUUUUAAUGGCCGAGAGUGGAUACCGUGUGCUUGUUAAGAAGUAGACUUUAAAGUCUAAUUCAAUCCUACAAAACCAGCUUGUAAGGAACGUGAAAGGGUACCUAAGUACAUUCUUCUUUCACUGGCAUCAGUUGAGACUGGCAAUGAAGUAGACAUAUGGGCUAUGUAAGGUUGGUACCAACAGAACUCAACCAAACUAGUUAUCAAUAACCGAAACGUUUAGUUCCGGAUUCAAAUUCCU
rnacentral:sRNA from 1 species